CCUACGGGUGGCUGCAGUGGGGAAUAUUGCACAAUGGGGGAAACUCUGAUGCAGCGAUGCCGCGUGAGUGAUGACGUCUUUCGGAAUGUAAAGCUCUAUUAGCAGGAAAGAUAAUGACGGUACCUGACUAAGAAGCUACGUAUAAAUACGUGCCAGCAGGCGUGGUAAUACGUAUGGAGCCAGCGUUAUACGGAUUUACUGGGUGUAAAGGGAGCGUAGGCGGCCGGGCAAGUCUGAUGUGAAACUCCGAGGCUCAACCCCGGGACUGCAUUUGAAACUGUCCGGCUAGAGAGCAGGAGAGGUAAGUGGAAUGUCUGGUGUAGCGGUGAAAUGCGUAGAUAUUAUGAGGAACACCAGUGGCGAAGGCGGCUUACUAGGCUAUAACUGACGUUGAGGCUCGAAAGCGUGGGGAGCAAACAGGAUUAGAUACCCCAGUAGUC
rnacentral:rRNA from 1 species